rnacentral:lncRNA from 1 species
AAAUUUUAUAAAUAUACAAUUAUAUGAAAUUUUUUUCAACUGUAACAAUUAUUUAGGUUGGUUAAAAAAACAUUUUUCUUUUUUCAAUGAAAAAUUGUUAAGAGAAGGUAUCCUAUAUAACUUUUUAGAUUUACUAAACAAAAACAACAAACAGUGUUAAAGGAUUUCAAAAAUAACAGAAAACAAAAACAAUUAAUGGUAAAAACUGUUGAGUAAGGCCUUUUAGAGUUUUAGUUCAUAACUCUGUACCACCAUUUGUGAAAAACGGUAGGGAAAAGUGCAAUAUAACAAACUUUAUAUCAUGGGAAAUAUCACAAAAAUCUUUGGAUAUAAAAACUUUGUAUAUAAGGUGCACUAUGCCAUUACACACUGAAUGUUUUUACUUGACAUUCAAUGGUUUAUAAGAAGUAACAGCAAGAUGAACAACUAAAUGGACAAACGAUGAGAAUGAUGAUUGCACACCCCCACAUCAAUACCAGUAGGUGAGAGGAUAUUGAUCAAUAUAUACCCAUCAUCAGUACUUGUAAGUGGGACUAUAAUGACUGAUUUAACACUUUAAUUCAGUGUUUGAUUUAUUCAUUGCACUAGAAAUCAUCACUACUCUAUGUAUGCUACACACAUUUCUACUAAAUGCUAACAACAUUUGAAAAAUCUCACAUAAGAUAGUGUAUAUCACUAAUUAUACAGGGUGAUUACCUUUACAAAACUAUGUUAAUCCAAUAUGUACAAUAUGAUAACCUCUAAAACUGAUAUAAGAAAAAUAUGUACAAACAAAGUCUUUCUUUUGUUUUCUACAAAACUAUCAAUGAAAAAAAUUCUACUAAUAAAAAUAUAACAUAAAAAAUAUAAAUUGUACUAAUAAUGUCAAACAAAAACUUAUCAGAU